GACGAACGCUGGCGGCGUGCCUAAUACAUGCAAGUAGAACGCUGAAACUUGGUGCUUGCACCGAGCGGAUGAGUUGCGAACGGGUGAGUAACGCGUAGGUAACCUGCCUGGUAGCGGGGGAUAACUAUUGGAAACGAUAGCUAAUACCGCAUAAGAGUAGAUGUUGCAUGACAUUUGCUUAAAAGGUGCAAUUGCACCACUACCAGAUGGACCUGCGUUGUAUUAGCUAGUUGGUGGGGUAACGGCUCACCAAGGCGACGAUACAUAGCCGACCUGAGAGGGUGAUCGGCCACACUGGGACUGAGACACGGCCCAGACUCCUACGGGAGGCAGCAGUAGGGAAUCUUCGGCAAUGGACGGAAGUCUGACCGAGCAACGCCGCGUGAGUGAAGAAGGUUUUCGGAUCGUAAAGCUCUGUUGUAAGAGAAGAACGAGUGUGAGAGUGGAAAGUUCGCACUGUGACGGUAUCUUACCAGAAAGGGACGGCUAACUACGUG
rnacentral:rRNA from 1 species